rnacentral:rRNA from 1 species
UGUACCUACGGGACGCAGCAGUAGGGAAUCUUCCACAAUGGACGAAGGUCUGAUGGAGCAACGCCGCGUGAGUGAAGAAGGGUUUCGGCUCGUAAAGCUCUGGUGGGAGUGAAGAAAGAUAGAGGUAGGAACUGGCCUUUAUUUGACGGUAAUUACUUAGAAAGUCACGGCUAACUACGUGCCAGCAGCCGCGGUAAUACGUAGGUGGCAAGGGUUGUCCGGAUUUAUUGGGCGUA